rnacentral:rRNA from 1 species
ACAUGCCUACAAAAUAGAAUUAAUGCAUCAGAUCCCAUUAGAACUCCGCAAUUAAGCUUGCUUAGGAUAGAGUAGUAUUGGGAUGGGUGACCGCCCGGGAAGUCCUAGUAUUUUACAUGCC